UCUCGGGCGGGCGGCUGGCAGCACUGCGAGGAGAAGGUGGGGCUGAGGAUGGCUCUCCGUGCUCCUGCCGAGCCCCCGGCAAUUGUUCAGGCCCAGGUUGAAAAUUCAGACCAAAGAAGUGCGUUGCCGCGUUAGGCUGUGAGCAGGAGCCGUCGCCCGGGGCAUUGCCCUGGACUGUCAUUCUAGUGAGGAGGAAAACGCGGACACGCACGUGAAGACCGCGGAAGAUGCAGAAGGAUGCCGCCUGCAGGC